GUGCUUCACCAGCUUACAUGCUAAAAUUGGAAAGCCAUGGGGAGAAGAUCAGCAUGGUCUCUGGAAAAGAAUGACAAGCAAAUGCAUGUAGUGUCUCAUAUUUUU